rnacentral:rRNA from 1 species
UCAGAAACUCAAGGAAUUGACGGGGCCCGCGACAAGCGGUGGAGCAUGUGGUUUAAUCGAUGAUACGCGAGGAACCUUACCUGGGCUCAAAUGUAUGUUGACGUAUUCUGAAAGGGAUACUUCUUCGGACAAUAUACAAGGUGCUGCAUGGUUGUCGUCAGCUCGUGCCGUGAGGUGUCGGGUUAAGUCCCAUAACGAGCGCAACCCCUAUCAUUAGUUGCCAUCAGGUCAAGCUGGGGACUCUAAUGAAACUGCCUACGCAAGUAGUGAGGAAGGUGGGGAUGACGUCAAAUCAGCACGGCCCUUACGUCCAGGGCUACACACGUGCUACAAUGGCCGAUACAAAGGGCAGCGACACUGCGAGGUGAAGCCAAUCCCGUAAAAUCGGUCUCAGUCCGGAUUGGAGUCUGCAACUCGACUCCAUGAAGUUGGAAUCGCUAGUAAUCGUGGAUCAGCAUGCCACGGUGAAUACGUUCCCGGGCCUU